AUCACUUCUCAGCCUUUUGGCCAAGAUCAAUUGUAGCACCUGUCCUUAUCAGUUUAAUAUCUGAUACUUCCUCUAUCUGAGGACCUUAUAGUAAACGUAAUUUUGCAAUAGGGAGAUGGAAUAGGAGCUUGCUCCAUCCACUCCACGCAUCGACCCAGUAUUGCAGUACCACCAGGAAUGGUGCAAAACAA
ensembl:snRNA U2 U2 spliceosomal RNA